CCCUUUUUCCCUCUCACUCUGUAGGACAGGAACUUACUGAAAACCAGAAUGUCUGAGUUGGGCCCAAGACCACGAAAGGACAGACGUGGAGCGGCGGCCUGUGGUUGCAGAACGCGGGGUAAUGAUUUUCUUCAGCUCCACGGGCGAUGGGGCUCAUCCUGUCCGUGUCAGAGGCUUCCUGUCAUGUCCAGAUGUGGCUCAAAGGCUGGGGCCUCCAAGGGUAGGACGGAGUCUGAACAUGUGGAGAUGUCUGAACAUGAUUAUUCUUAAAGCGCCACUAGAGGGCAGCAGUUCCACUGUUAAUUCA